CAUACAUUGCUGAUAGGAUUAUCAAUUAGUACAAGAUUUCUGAAGGGAAUCUGGCAAUGUGUAUCAAGAAACAACAACAAAAAAUUAUACCCUUUGAACCAAGAUGGAGUUUUGCUACGUUUUCCAGGCUGGAGUUCUAUAUUUUUAAGAUUGAAGAUGUCCUUGAUGAUAUAUGGUAUAUUUGCCUCCGUUUCAGACUUACAGACACAAGGAGGUACAGAAACUUUGGCUAGGAUCUCACACCAAUAAAUGCCUAGCACUGUGUUUAGUACC
rnacentral:lncRNA from 1 species